rnacentral:rRNA from 1 species
UACCUACGGGGGGCAGCAGUGGGGAAUAUUGCACAAUGGGGGAAACCCUGAUGCAGCAACGCCGCGUGGGUGAAGGAGCGUUUCGGCGCGUAAAGCCCUGUCAGCGGGGAAGAAGAAAGACGGUACCCGACCAAGAAGCCCCGGCUAACUACGUGCCAGCAGCCGCGGUAAUACGUAGGGGGCAAGCGUUAUCCGGAUUUACUGGGUGUAAAGGGAGCGUAGACGGCAGCGCAAGUCUGGAGUGAAAUGCCGGGGCUCAACCCCGGAACUGCUUUGGAAACUGUGCAGCUAGAGUGCG